rnacentral:misc_RNA from 1 species
UGCAAAACAUAAAAAUUGCAAGCGAACACAAUCUUAAAUUUAGAAAGACAAGUAGUUUUCCUGCCCUAGAUAACAGAGGCCAGACCUCAUUCCUUGGAGCUUAUUUUGCAAUAUUUCAAUAUUGUUUUAAGCCAUUAAUUCACUACAGAGUCAAACAACAAACUAACAUAAAGUUUAACUCACUAUUAAGUGUUCUUAACUUUCUGCAUAUACAUGCAGGAAAAGGA